AUCCUGUCUGAAUAUGGGGGGACCAUCCUCCAAGGCUAAAUACUCCUGACUGACCGAUAGUGAACCAGUACCGUGAGGGAAAGGCGAAAAGAACCCCUGUGAGGGGAGUGAAAUAGAACCUGAAACCGUGUACGUACAAGCAGUAGGAGCACCUUCGUGGUGUGACUGCGUACCUUUUGUAUAAUGGGUCAGCGACUUAUAUUCAGUGGCAAGGUUAACCGUAUAGGGGAGCCGUAGCGAAAGCGAGUCUUAACUGGGCGCUCAGUCUCUGGAUAUAGACCCGAAACCGGGUGAUCUAGCCAUGGGCAGGUUGAAGGUUGAGUAACAUCAACUGGAGGACCGAACCGACUAAUGUUGAAAAAUUAGCGGAUGACUUGUGGCUAGGGGUGAAAGGCCAAUCAAACUCGGAGAUAGCUGGUUCUCCCCGAAAGCUAUUUAGGUAGCGCCUCGGACGAAUACUACUGGGGGUAGAGCACUGUUAAGGCUAGGGGGUCAUCCCGACUUACCAACCCUUUGCAAACUCCGAAUACCAGUAAGUACUAUCCGGGAGACACACGGCGGGUGCUAACGUCCGUCGUGGAGAGGGAAACAACCCAGACCGCCAGCUAAGGUCCCAAAGUAUUGCUAAGUGGGAAACGAUGUGGGAAGGCUCAGACAGCUAGGAUGUUGGCUUAGAAGCAGCCAUCAUUUAAAGAAAGCGUAAUAGCUCACUAGUCGAGUCGGCCUGCGCGGAAGAUGUAACGGGGCUAAGCAAUACACCGAAGCUGCGGCAAUGUCUUUUAGACAUUGGGUAGGGGAGCGUUCUGUAAGCCGUUGAAGGUGAAUCGUAAGGUUUGCUGGAGGUAUCAGAAGUGCGAAUGCUGACAUGAGUAACGACAAAGGGGGUGAAAAACCUCCUCGCCGGAAGACCAAGGGUUCCUGUCCAACGUUAAUCGGGGCAGGGUGAGUCGACCCCUAAGGUGAGGCCGAAAGGCGUAAUCGAUGGGAAACGGGUUAAUAUUCCCGUACUUCUGACUAUUGCGAUGGGGGGACGGAGAAGGCUAGGUGGGCCAGGCGACGGUUGUCCUGGUUCAAGUGCGUAGGCUUGAGAGUUAGGUAAAUCCGGCUCUCUCUAAGGCUGAGACACGACGUCGAGCUACUACGGUAGUGAAGUCAUUGAUGCCAUGCUUCCAGGAAAAGCCUCUAAGCUUCAGAUAGUCAGGAAUCGUACCCCAAACCGACACAGGUGGUCGGGUAGAGAAUACCAAGGCGCUUGAGAGAACUCGGGUGAAGGAACUAGGCAAAAUGGUACCGUAACUUCGGGAGAAGGUACGCUCUUGAUGGUGAAGUCCCUCGCGGAUGGAGCUGACGAGAGUCGCAGAUACCAGGUGGCUGCAACUGUUUAUUAAAAACACAGCACUGUGCAAAAUCGCAAGAUGACGUAUACGGUGUGACGCCUGCCCGGUGCCGGAAGGUUAAUUGAUGGGGUUAGCGCAAGCGAAGCUCUUGAUCGAAGCCCCGGUAAACGGCGGCCGUAACUAUAACGGUCCUAAGGUAGCGAAAUUCCUUGUCG
rnacentral:rRNA from 1 species